GGAAGGAUCAUUACUAGAGCAAAGGAUAGACAGCGCCCGCGGAGCUCGCUCCCGGGGCUACCCUACUCCCGUAGGGUUUAGAGUCGUCGGGCCUCUCGGAGAAGCUCGGUCCUGAACUCCACCCUUGAAUAAACUACCUUUGUUGCUUUGGCGGGCCGCCUCGUGCCAGCGGCUUCGGCUGUUGAGUGCCCGCCAGAGGACCCCAACUCUUGUUUUUAGUGAUGUCUGAGUACUAUAUAAUAGUUAAAACUUUCAACAACGGAUCUCUUGGUUCUGGCAUCGAUGAAGAACGCAGCGAAAUGCGAUAAGUAAUGUGAAUUGCAGAAUUCAGUGAAUCAUCGAAUCUUUGAACGCACAUUGCGCCCUCUGGUAUUCCGGGGGGCAUGCCUGUUCGAGCGUCAUUAUAACCACUCAAGCUCUCGCUUGGUAUUGGGGUUCGCGGUUUCGCGGCCCCUAAAAUCAGUGGCGGUGCCUGUCGGCUCUACGCGUAGUAAUACUCCUCGCGAUUGAGUCCGGUAGGUCUACUUGCCAGCAACCCCUAAUUUUUUUUAAGGUUGACCUCGGAUCAGGUAGGGAUACCCGCUGAACUUAAGCAUAUCAAUAAGCGGAGGA
rnacentral:rRNA from 1 species